AAACCUCCAACAACGGAUCUCUUGGUUCCCAGAUCGAUGAAGAGCGCAGCGAAUUGCGAAAUGUGAUGUGUAUUGCAGUGAAUCAUCAAUUCUUGAACGCACAUGGCACCCCUUUUAGGGGUAUGCUUGUAUGAGGGUGUUU
rnacentral:rRNA from 3 species